ensembl:lncRNA
CUUGCAUGUAUGGGCUCUGCAUACAUGCAGACUGUCUAUAAAUUCCUUUGGUGUGCCAUGUUUUCCUCUUUAUAACAUCUUCCCUCCACUGUUUCAUGAGUGGAUGCAAGAUUUUACGGCGUGUGUGAAUGUUUAGUUUUUAAAAACGAGGAAAGGAAAGGAAAGGAAACCACACUGUUGCACUAGUGAUGUCCAAUGUCUUCAUUACUUGAUCGUGAGCAUGGCUACCAAUAACCAUUUUAAAGCAAAGACACUGUUGCCCUUUCUCCCAAUACAUCCCGUCUUUUUUCCCUCUGUCCGCCCCCCCUCCCUUCCCUCCCAAUCUUCUCACCCUCAUCUGGUUGAUUUUGGACAACAGCAUGCCAUCAUCAGCAGCCACCACCACCACAGGUAUGGAUUCAUGGCGGCAAGGACCAGCAGGAUUCUGGGAGGGAAUUUGUGAGAUGAAGCUUUAAUGAGAGCGAGGCCUCGUCAGCCAGGAAGAAAUGUAUGCUAAUGAUAUGCACACACCAAAAGGACCCUGGGUAGGCAAGGCAAGUGCUGGCCGAGCUCCCGCUGAGCUCUGAGGAAGAUGAGCAGCUCAGGUCAGAAGAAUAGCAACAAAAACGCCUCCUCCUCCUUUUCUUCUUUCCUUUUCUUCAAUCUGCAUCCACAAGGGCACAGAAAAACUGGUUAACUUAAACCCUUAGAAAUUAGGUUGUGUUGCCACAUGAUGCUGCUGUUGAUGUCUUUUAGUUUCUGGAUUUCUCAUUUUUUCCUUUUCUUCAUCUUUGCAAGCACAUUGACAUUGUGGGUUGAAUUAGCUGGAGAUUAAACACAUCUGUGUUUUACAUCCAGACUUUCCAGAAUUUUAACUGUCAUAAAUAAUGACAGUUAAAAAUAAAAUUGUGCUCCAGAGAGAUGCAAUGUGUGUCCUCUAAUUGUGCUCAAAGUUGUCUUUAAUAAUAGAAAAAUGGAUAUUAAUUUGUUUUGACACUUCAUUUGGAAAUUUAAACUCACCACACCCUUAGUUAAUAAUGGUGUAUGUAAUUGGGCAGUAUUUAAAUGAAAUGACCUGUUUUCAUUCAGGAAUGAAGUGUAUUUGUUAUUAAUUAAGGAAAGAUGCUUGUUACUGGAAAUAAUGUUGCUAAAUACAAUUUCUAUUUAUUUCAGUGUUAUCAAGUAUGUUUCAGUUACUGAUUCACAUAAAUUUUGUUUUUAUUAUACAUUUUAGUGCCAAACUUUUAAUUUAUCCUGAAAUUAUGCUUUAAUUAAUAAAUAAGCCAUGUAUUUUGUAGAAGCCUUUAUUAAAUAAAUUAAUAUUUUGGAAUGCAAGUAAAUAAUUUCUGUUAUUUCUGUUUAUCUAAUUUGCAGAUCUGUUUUCUGGGGAGGCUUUUCAUUAAAAUUGUUUCCUUUUCAUCAUAUAUUUUAUUUACAAUUGUGCAUUAAUUUAUUAAUAUUAUUAUUAUGUUAACGGGAAAAUUUUAAAAAAUUACUCCGUUUAACGCGUCUUUUAGUGCUAUAUAAAAUUAUCUAAUUUACUUGUUGCCAAACUAAAUGAACAUUUAAAUGUUGAUUUAAAAAAAAGAAGAAAAAAAAACUAUGCAGAAUUCACAUCAGCAUUAACGUUACGGUGCAGUCCCUGCUCUCCUCUCCUCUUCUCUGUUUCUUUGCUCGGAGUAUCGCUCCUGCAGGAAUUACUGGCCUGUCUGAUCUGAUUGCCGCUGAAAAAAAAGGAAGGAAGAAAAGAAAAACGAAUAAAGGACGAAGCGAGACAUCAGCGCGACGAUCUCGGCGGCGUUAACUAGUGAUCGUAAAAAGCGCCAGAGUCCAGCCGCAUCCGAAAUGGAAACCUCUUUUUCCACCGUCGCCUUCGGGGGUGAAUAAACAAGAGGAAACGGGAUGAGAAGGGGGGGAAAAAAUCCAUUGAGUCUUGGGAAGAAAAUGAGAGUGGCACCUGAUGAUGUCGACUUUGACACGUGUUAAUUGCUGCUCAGCUCUCCUCAUCAGGGAGUCUCAAAUUAUUUUAGCGCUCCGGGCCACAGCGCCUUGUUUGCUUUGCUGAGGAAAGGAAGCAAGCUGGCCCAAACUUCAAAUGAUAAAAUGGCUUCAUCGAUAGAAAAAUCAGACAAAACUGCUUCACUGCACUUCUGGCUACAUUUAAACAUCUUUGAUUUCAGUUUCCUGCUGUAUCCUCAGCUUUUACCAACAACGCUCCUCUCAACCAACAUACUCAAAUACACAGUUUUACUUCAGUGCCUGAGAGCACCAGUACUCAUCUUCUUUACUUCACACUUCUUACCUGUUGACAUGUAUUUAUAAGGCCUUGCAUGGUGAAUUAUAAAGCCUUUGUUAUUGCCUGGCUUGGGGUUGGCCACUUGUUUAUGACACCAGUAAUGGUGGUAAUUGUUAUUGUUGAGAUUACCUGUCAAGAGGACCUGGACAGUGAGCUUGGAGAAAGCGUUGCUCUCUUGACAAGGGGUGACAGGGGUGUGGGGAAGAGGAUGUGGGGGUUGGAGGCGAGGCUGGGAUGCCCUGAUGACUUCUCCGCUGAUAAUCAGCUACCGUGGCCUGUGGGAUAAUUCAGCUGUCAGUGCCACCUAACAGGGCCCAGCAUCAGCCGGCCGACCCCAGCUGGCGUCAUUCAUUUGGACUGAAGAUGGGGAUGAAGGCCUCAGGAGGGGUGAAGGGAUGCAGGAGCAGAGGAAUAAGGACAACGUCUACAUAUUUGAUUGCUGGAGUUGGCCUUUAAAUGCAGUAAUUUAAAGUUAUCAUCAAACAUUUUUUUAUAGUUUUUGAAAAAAAUGUCUUUUAAAUUUUGCGCCUAAAAGUGCCUUUUUCAAAUUAACAGCUGAUUGAAUGUUUAAACCUCGCUUUGGUGAAAAACCAAAGUAUUAAAUACGUUUUAAAUUGUAUUUCACAUAAGGUCUUAUUUUCUUUAUAUAAAAAACACAGUUUCAGUUUUUUUGCAAAGGCACAUAGCAAGUCCUCACAACACUGCACCUAACAACAUAGAGCAGAUCCUUUAUGCCAUAUGAUCUAAAUGCUUUGUGAAGAAUUUCUGCAACCAGGACUGAACAGGCGAUUGCAGUAAUUCUUGAGAUGUUCACUUGCAUCUUAAAUCAACAUGACGCUGUAAUAAGUGUAUUUUGUUGAAAAUGAAAUUACUUUUAAAUUGAGCCACUACAACAAAUUCAAAGCUUAAUAAUAUAAAGGUUAAUUGCAUGCAAUAUGUCAUGUAUAGAAAUUGUUGAAAAUGUGACUACCUAUUUGCAACCUUUUAAGGUCCUUCCUAAUUCCUUCUGUAAAAGCAGACUCGUUGUCUUCCUGGACACGUGUGCAUCAUAAAGAGGGCAGCAGCAGCUAAAAUGGCAGGCAAAUCACUUUUCGAAUGGUUUUGGAGCAGCUAUCAGUGUCAUCCCUGAAAGGCUGUCUUUAUCAAUGAUACUGGCUGAUAUGGUGGGGGUGUGGAGGUUGGUGGAGGGCGUGGGGGGGGGGGUUCUAUCUGUCUUUGGAAUCUUUCACAGUUUAGGGCCGAGAGCUGCUAAGAAACUGUCAAAGAUUUGGACAGCUAAAAUCCCCCGGUAGCAAACGCUGAGCUGUUCUCUAUCUGUAUUCCACUGUGGCAACACGCGGGGUUGUAACACUACGCCACUGCUAUUCCAGUGGGAUAAUGUCACUGAGGAAAUAGUGCCAGAAAAAUGUCUGCACAGUAUUUUUGCUGUAAUACAGUAUUCCUUUAUUUUUGAUUUUAUCAUGCAAACAUUUAUGAAAAUGAACACAUUUUGUGAAUUUGAGUCACUUGUUCAAAUUUAUUUUUUUUUGUGUGUGAACAUUGUACUGUUUCUGAUUCAGUUACAGUAUAUAACUACUGUCUGCACCUAAUUUAAUCUCUAUUCAUG